rnacentral:rRNA from 1 species
AUGAAGGGUUUUGAUGAAGCUUGGCGACGCCAAGUAGAAUCCUUCACGCAAAAAGGGAGUGUUGGAAUUAAAGUGAAUGACAAUAUAGGUCAUUAUUUCCAGACACACAAGGGCCUCAGACAAGGUGAUCCAAUGUCUCCUAUUCUAUUCAACAUUGUCGUUGAUAUGUUGGCAAUCUUGAUAGGUCGGGCAAAGGAGGCCGGGCAAGUAGGUGGUUUGGUGCCUCAUCUAGUUGAUGAUGGUGUGUCCAUCCUGCAGUACGCCGAUGAUACAAUCAUCUUUAUGGAGCACGACUUGGCUAAGGCGAGAAAUAUCAAGCUGGUACUGUGCCUUUUCGAGCAAUUGACCGGUCUGAAGAUUAACUUCCAUAAAAGCGAGUUGUUCUGUUUUGGUAGAGCCAAAGAGGAACAAGAUGCUUACAAGCAACUGUUUGGUUGCGAAUUGGGAGCUCUACCGUUCACUUAUCUAGGUAUCCCCAUUCACCAUCGUAAGUUGAUUAACAGCGAAUGGAAGUGUAUCGAGGAUCGGUUUGAGAAGAAACUGAGUUGCUGGAAGGGCAAACUCAUGUCGUAUGGAGGCCGAUUGAUUCUCAUUAAUUCGGUGCUCACGAGUAUGCCUAUGUUUCUUUUAUCCUUUUUUGAAGUACCAGUUGGAGUUAGGAAAAGGCUGGACUUCUAUCGGUCACGUUUCUUCUGGCAGAGUGAUGAGCUUAAGAGAAAGUACCGUUUAGCCAAAUGGGAUGUCAUCUGCCGACUGAAAGACCAAGGGGGUCUUGGGGUUGAGAACCUUGAAGUCAAGAACAGAUGCCUUCUUAGUAAGUGUCUAUAUAAGUUAUCUGCCAAGACUGAGGCCACUUGGGCGCAGAUUCUUCGUAACAAGUAUCUAUACUCUAAGACCCUGUCGUAG